rnacentral:lncRNA from 1 species
AUAUAUCUGACCGUUUUAUCAUAUAGUAAUUAUAAUAUAUAUAUAAUAUACGUAUGUUCAUAGUAUACAGAAAAACAGAAAGAAUAAAAAUCGGUAUUUGGAAAAAAGGGGGAGGGUAAAAAAAAAUAAAUGUGCUCAGUCCCCAAGUACCUUUGACUUUUGAUACCUCUCCUGGAAUUCUCCUGUUAUAUUUUUUUUACAGUUUACAUACGCUCUAUUUCCCCGCUAUUUCGCGGGUGUGUUCUAGUAUAGUUUAAUCAAAAAGCG